UAGGGAAUCUUCGGCAAUGGACGAAAGUCUGACCGAGCAACGCCGCGUGAGUGAAGAAGGUUUUCGGAUCGUAAAACUCUGUUGUUAGAGAAGAACAAGGACGUUAGUAACUGAACGUCCCCUGACGGUAUCUAACCAGAAAGCCACGGCUAACUACGUGCCAGCAGCCGCGGUAAUACGUAGGUGGCAAGCGUUGUCCGGCUUUAUUGGGCGUAAAGCGAGCGCAGGCGGUUUCUUAAGUCUGAUGUGAAAGCCCCCGGCUCAACCGGGGAGGGUCAUUGGAAACUGGGAGACUUGAGUGCAGAAGAGGAGAGUGGAAUUCCAUGUGUAGCGGUGAAAUGCGUAGAUAUAUGGGGGAACACCAGUGGCGAAGGCGGCUCUCUGGUCUGUAACUGACGCUGAGGCUCGAAAGCGUGGGGAGCAAACAGG
rnacentral:rRNA from 1 species